UAGACCACCGAAAGACAACCUAGCAAAGAUCACUUCUCUUGGGCAAAGUACGCAAGGACGAGUAGCUCCGAUUACGAAACACAACACAAGUUGGCAUAACCCAAGUCAAGAUGAUAACUCGGUCAUCCAGUUCUUGCUUGUGUUAGCUUCUUUCUUUGGAUCAAUGAGGACUUUCUGGGGUCCUGAAGAGCAGGUUUCUGAUGAGGAAAACACUAUUUUAGAUCAGGAAUUCACUGAAGAAGAGGUGAAAACUGUUGUUUUCCAGUCUUAUCCUGACCCAGAUGGUUUUCCUUUUCUGUUUUACCAAAAGUUCUGGGAAACUAUUAAGGAGGAUUUGAUGGCUCCAUUUAGAGAUUUUGACCAGAAUCAAGCAUACCUGUUCAGGUUGAAUUUUGCCAUGCUUACCCUUAUCCCAAAAGAAACUCAUGCCACUUCCCUUAAGAAGUACAGGCCUAUAGCCCUAUGGCUCCAGCGCGCACACACACACAUCCCUUCCGAAACUCUCUCCCGAAACACUCUCCUAGAUCAGCCCCUCCCUUGCCGCCACCAGGGCGCGCCACCAGGCAAAGCCCGCGCGGCCACUGCGGUGGCAGGGCUCUCAUUCACGUUUUUGCUCGGCGAGUCGUCAAGUGCCUCCAUGGCUGCGCUCGGUGGUGGUUGACGAGGCGGCUGUCUCCGUGGUGUUCCCCGGUGGCGACAGCCCUGGCCUCGGCUCGCGGUGUGGUUGCCCUGGCGGUUGGCAACGGCGCUCUUGCGGCCUGUUGGCUGGGCCUGGGCGAUCUGCCUUUCACGGCACGUCCACAGGCAGCAUGGUGGGGUCUGCGCUGCAGAGUGCGGCCACUGAUGGAUCCUCUUCUCCUCGUUGGAUCUGGCCAGUCGAAGACCUUCGUCGACUCUUGAGAAGGUGAGGUGUCGGUGGUGCGGUUUGCUACACGAAGGCGGUGGUGUCUAUAGACAUCUUUCCCUUCUGAGGCGUUAUCAAGAAGUGAUCUACAUUUUGGUCGUGUGCUUUGGUCUAGUCUAGGGGUGAUUUGGCACGGGCUGCUGUGCUUGUUAAAGCGCUGGAAAAUUUUGUGCCCAAGAAGAACCUAUCUACGCUGAAGAACUACUUGCUGCUCUUGGAGAACAAGGUGUCGGAGGCUCCCCGAAUCCUGCUCUGAUGAAGAAAAGGAAGAUUCUACUCGCAGGGCCUGAAACUCCUCAUGCUUAGUGCGCACGGCGUGCAUUGUCCUGAAUGGCUGAUGGUGUUUGCCUGUAAUGUGGUGUGUGCAUGUAAUGGCUGAAUGUUCUGCUCGUUGAUGUUGGUUCUAGGCACCCGAUAGGGUGUAUCCUGUUUACUUUUCAGUUUUCCGCAUCUAUUGUAAGACAGUGUUGUUUCAUUUUCAAUGAGAAUGGAACAGCGCGUGGGCCUUUGGCUCUGAAAAAAAAACUCUUCCUUUGUUUCUAGCA